rnacentral:lncRNA from 1 species
CAAUCAAAGCCAUAUGAAGUGUCUUGCUUUCACUUUGACCAUACCCACAAGCCUAGUUAAUGAAGCUUCAGUCUUUUCAACUGUGAUCUUUGUUGCUCCGUUUGCCGUUUUGGUCUCCUCAUCUUCCGCUGGUGUUGGAUCUUGUAUUAUAACUUCUUUGGGCUUUUACUCUGUCUUCGAAUUAUCUAUCACCACUUCCUUGGUCUCCACAUGAAUAACCGGGAGCUCAGCUUGUGGGGCAUCAAUUGUUGCUGCUUCUAUCGGUUCUUGUGCUGUUUCUUCCUUUGGUUUUUCGAUUGCUGCUGGUUCUGGGGCUGGAACAUCAAUGCCUGAUUGUUCUGUUUCUGGGAUUAGUCUUGGUCGUUACCUCGUUGUUACUUGUUUCACUUUGGUUCAAUUUUGUUGGGACUUGUGCAUCCUGCAAGAUCCAAUUUCAAUUCAAAAAGCAAAUUCAUGACUAAGUUAGGUGAUAAAAUGGCACGUCACAUAAUCAAAUCUGGCAACUUAAUUAGAGAAAAAUGUGGAUUGGAUCAAUAGGCAUAGCCCAGGAUGAGAAACUAAAGAAUAUUGAAUCCUUGAACUUGAAGUGGCAGCUAAUCAGAACUGAUUUAUUUCUUUUGUUUCUAAUAAAAGUAGAAGUUCAUAUAAUCCACCACUGGAUAUAUACUAUGUGAUCUGUAAAAUUAACUGGAAAAUGACUUGUGCUUCACAACUAGAUAGGGUCAGAACUCAGAAGGCAUGAAACUCCGCCACUCUGUCUCUAUUAUAUAUAUACCCUGAAUUGCAAGAAGCGAAUUUAUGACCAACGAUGAUUCAUACGACGCGAAAUUGUGUAUUACGUAUUGUAUAUUGAUGAUUUGGAUACGUAGAUCUAAUAUAAUACAGUGGUACUUAACAAGAACAUUAUGAUAUGUAAAUUUGAUCGGCUGAUCAAGCUCAGAGUAGAAUGAAUCUCCCAACAAGAAUAAUAAUUUAUCACAUAGAUUCAAUCGCAUAUAUACUGCGUAGACUAAUAUGAAGUAGUAGUGUAAUCUUGACUUUGAGUUACCUGAACACUGGCCAUUGAGACAAUGCAAAUAAUUGUAAGGAACUGAGAC